rnacentral:misc_RNA from 1 species
UCACGUGACGAGGUUGGCGACUUUCCAUCAUGAUCCUACAUAACUGUUUGUUUCGGAAGACUAAGAUUAAGAGGUUUUAGUUGAAGAACUUUGAUGUGGAUGACGAAACAAGGAUGUAACAUCUUUAUUGGUUUCUACCGUCAUGGUAGCAAAGAAACAUUUUGUGGCAAUGAUUGAACUCCAGCGUUUCACCUAUCCGACUCCAAAAUAUUUGAAUCUGGAAUAAUGGUACAUAAUACCUCUGCUGACAUAGUUUGGUGAUACACACAACAUCCUUUGCCGCCAUGGAGGAACAUAAUAGGGUGGCAGACGAAAAGUCUCUGAGGCAGGGAAUCGCAAGGAUGCGUGCGGCCAUGCUACCGUAUAUACUUGCGAAUGAGCCACAAAACUGUACCAAAGAAAUGCUUGCUUUGUCACGGGUCAUCUGUGACUUAAACAUGAAAUAUCGUGUAAUUGAUAUGGAGAAUUUGAUCCGUGAGAAUUGUGAGGAAUUAGACCAAGUGAAGAAAAUUGGAUUUGCCUUCAAUAUUCUAGAGAAAUAUGCACGACAUUUGUUGAAGCCACUGAAAAAUAGGGCAGAAAUGUGGAGAUAUGUCAAAUUUAGCAACACCUUCUUCAGGGAUCGUGUCGAUGUUAUCAAGGGAGGUCGGAAAAUAAUGAGGCAGAUGGGAUAUACAGAAGAUAUUGAGGGCGGUAUGGCAUUUCCAGAGGAUCAAGACAGUGACGCUAAUACAAUUGCCGAAAUGGUCUUUGACAUGGUACUGAUGAAGUAUGAAAUUACAAACCUUAUCCAUGGACUGCAUCCAGCACCGGAGAUACUUGUUGACCUCAUAAAGCCAUUUGCAAAAAAUGAGUUGCAAGUGUUGCAGUCGGUGAUGGACUACCGACGCAAUAACAAAGACCCGCCGGAGAAGAAGGAAGAACCAGUACACAACUUUGUGGUACCAUUAGUUAACCCUGAAAGAAUUAUACCGGCGUUUCCGGGGACCGAGGGUUAUACACCGAAUUCUGGCCUGGAAGGAUCCACCAUGGGACUACCUGGGGAGAUGAGGGGCCAGGCUCCAGGCUACAGACACCCUGGAGCACCCCACAUACCAAGCAUUGUCCAACAGGCAUGGGACUCAAGCACCUCAGAGAAUUCCGGACAGCAACAGAUAGCAGGUUCUGUUGAGGAAGCCAGCUCAGGAGUGAAGGAUGAUGACCAGUUAUGUAACAGCGUGGUGUGUGAUAUCUGCGGUAAACAGGCGCCGGAGCUGGUCUGUUCCCAGUGUGACAACAAACAGCUAUGUACAAACUGUGACCAAAGAUGGCACACGCAUCCCAAACGCAAAAACCACCAGCGUGAAGUCAUCAAGACUGGUGAGAACAGGACUGAAAGUAUGAGGGGAAUACCGUGUAGUGAGGAGUUGGGCUUGUCUGAAGCUCAAAUGCCACAUCAGAUAGGGACACCUGUUGAUGGGAUGUUGUCACAGACAGGGGUUCCUGUGACCAAUGAGACCACACCCCCUAUGAGUGUAACAGGGAUUGCACCAGCUUCUCAGGAUCCAAGUUGGAUCUCCGAGGACCCGCUUGGUGUAUCAAAUAAUGUCACUGACUUCAAUUCUGGUACCAGGGGGAACACAGAUGUCAACCAGGCAAGCCAUAGCUACAGUAAUCAAGGUCAUGAGACCCAGUCUAUGGCUACCCUACCACCACAGACUCAUCCGUCACCACCAGCUAAAGUGAGAUCCCCCAGCCUCCCCCAGCAUAAGAGUUCCAAUGCCAACGCUGCGCCUGGUGGGCCACCAACUUCCAAACUAUUGCGCAGGAUCAUGGAUAUACAGGAUCUUGAUAGGAGGGAGUCCAAGAUCCACAUUGACCUGGAAAUGCUGCACCAAGAGAUACAGGAUGUCGAGGAACGGUCCUCUGUCCUCAUUGAUGAAGGGGCAGAUUUUGAGGAUGAGGAAUACAAAAGUUUAACGAGGAGGAAAUUUAAUCUUCAGAAAGAGAAAAGGGAGAUUGAUAAAUAUUUUAAGGAAAUUUUUCCUCAUGACAAACACAAAGGAAAGGUUGAUAUUGCCAAUCAGCAUAUUUUCCGUCCCCCUAGUUCUACUCCUGGGCCCCAAAUAGAUCCUCGGGAUCCUGUUCACGGACUAAGAAUGAAUGCCAGUAUAAUAGGAAACAGUGCUGUACUCUUUGGGUCUCCGGCAUCUGCUAUGAGCUCAGUGGGUCAGCAGGGUGGAUAUGGCAGCCCAGCAGGUCAGUCCUCUGGUGCUUAUCUAACCCCGGGUCAACCUUUACAACCACCAGUGUCAAGUACAAUUGGUCAGGCUACGGGACAAAAAAUAAUGGAUGUCGCAGCUCCGAAAGCCAUGGACUCCAAUUCCAACCAAUAUACCCCAGUUACAAGGGCAGGGAGUGCAGACUUAUCACGCCAAUACACCCCGGUUCCCAUAACUACCCAUCCCUACAACAUGCCUGCACCUCAGCCACAGCAUACAUACACUAGUAUGGGAAUGCAGUACGGUCAGAAGAUGUCUCAGCCACCGAUGCCCCCAGCCCUUCCAUGUGACCAGGAAAACGGUCAACUAGAAACCCAGCAACAGGCCCCAGGGUACUCCAUAGCUCGUCCUCCGUUUGGUCCCCAGGAUAGGCCACAGGAAAACUUAGUGUCUUCCAAAUUAAAUAAUUCAGCAGAUCCAAUGGAAACAUUAGCCGUGACAGAAAACACUAUUAACGAAGGUCUACUGGAGGCUAAUAAGGAGUUGAAAAGAGAGCCACAUGUGCCAUUUAAACUGCAGAAAGUGCACUACCCCCCACAAGCUGUACCUAUAGUUCCUCCACCAGUACCAGCUCCACAACCACCUGGACUGAGAGAGGCAGAAUAUCUUCAGGCGGCUAGUGCCUCAAUGCAGGACAUCAAUUCAUCCAACCUCACCUCUACUCUGCUCAACAAACAAGUACAAAAUGAGAACAAGCCAGUGAAAAGGAGUCAAAACUAUUCCCUCCCUGCUCCAGCUAGUUCAGGAUAUCUCCCCGGAGCUGUGGCUCGGAGUAGGUCUGAGGGGGCUUCUUGUAAGUGGAUGUGUCAGCACUGCACCUUCUACAACCAACCGGAUGUUAAGGCAUGUGCCAUGUGUAGCAAGACCAGUCAGAACCCCACGUUUGUGUAUGAUGAGGACAGGGAAACUGGUGCUUCCAGCAAUUUGGCUCCAGAAACCGUUGUGGAGGACGAAGAGGAAACCAAGGUUCUGGACCGGGCAGUACGCCAUGGCCAGAUAGCAUACAAUGAAUACAGACAAGUAGAAAUUGAGAAGAGAGAGGCUCAUGAGAAAUAUCAAGAACUUCUAAGACAGGAAGAGGCAGCAAAACAAACAAUUAUUAAGAAACCUUUACCAACAGAAAUUGCUGGUUUUGUGAUGGUCGAGACACCGUCGCCCAACAUCUUAUAUCCCAAUUUAAAACCACCGGAAUUAAAACUGGAGAGAAAAUCGCCUUCUCCUCAACCAAUGACAUAUUCAAAUUCCCCUCCCCCAUCUUUUACUGGGGGAAAUAAGGAGAUGAACUUCACAGAGAAAAUGAAAGAGUUAAGAUUGAGAAAAAAACAGGAGUCAUUGAUUCAGGAAGGGCGUAGUCUAGUCAAAAUACUCAAGGAGGCUGAGAAAGCAGGCUUUGAAAUGGAAGAGAUCAGUCUCGGUUUAAACAAAUGCGAUCAGGACUUAGAGAAAACUAUCGAAUGGCUGAAAAAUGACUGGCAGAUGUCAAUUGAAACUCUCAUUACUAUGGUAACCAAUGAAGGAACUCGAAUGGAGCAAAAUGAAAUUGGAGAACUUUCCUAUCCCGAGGCCAAGAAGGCUUUGCAGGAAACCAGUGGUGAUCUUGACACAGCUGCUGCCAUCUGUAUCGCAAACAGAAGAGACAUGUAUAAGGAGAUAUCUAGUAGAGGAUACUUCGCCAGAGAGGCAGUUCUAAUGUCAAUGUUGACAAACAAAGGAGAUGUUGAGGCAGCCCUGGAUGAACUGAACCUGGCCAGUAUCCAACCUUUCUAUGAGCGAGUGUGGGCAGAGUUUGACAACGCUCCCCUGGCAGCUGGUGCCAUGGCCAGACCGCUAGACGCUCAGGACGAGACAAGUGUGACGAACAGCAUCCUCAAUCACUACGACUUCUGGGCCUCUGUUACUGAUAAGAACGUGGAUAUGAAUCGACGGGUGCGAAUGAUACUGGUGGAGGGUAAGCUUCAGAGUUGGGGCAGAGCUGAGGUAGUUAUCAAGAUUCUCGACAUAGACAUUGCCAACAAAACAGUGGAGGCCUCCCUUGCAGAAAUCGUAGAAGCUGUUAAGAACUGCCAGGAUUAUAAGAGCUCUAUCGUGUACCUUAGUCAGGAGUGUCAAAUCUGCAUGAGCAGGUUCGCCAUGAGCAGGAUUCGCAGUCUGAGUUCCUGUGAGUGUAAGAUCUGUGUAGAUUGUAUGAGGGGCUACUUUGAGGUGUGUAUCCGAGAGAAACACGUGCGUAACCUGUGCUGCCCCCUGUGUAGCCAACCAGAUAUGGAGGACUCCGAAAUGGCUACCAACUAUCUCACCUUCCUCACCAUGUUGCUGCAGACAAUUGUCAGCCAUGAGGACCUAGAACUGUACGACUCUAAGCUGAGGGACUGGAACCUUCAGAAAGAUCCCCACUUUAGAUGGUGCACGCAUUGUGGUAAUGGGUUCAUAUGGGACAGAGAGAACACCAUCGCCAUGGUGUGUCCACAGUGUCGCAAGAAAACGUGUUACAGCUGUAAGAAACAGUGGGAGGACCAACAUGAUGGUUUGAACUGUGAGGAAUUUGAACAGUGGAAGAUUGACAAUGACCCAGAAAAUCAAGCGAUGGGACUCGCCAAACACCUACAGUUAAAUGGAAUCGACUGUCCCAGCUGUAAGAUGAGGUAUGCCCUCGCCAAGGGAGGCUGUAUGCACUUCAAGUGUCCCCAGUGUGGCCAUGAGUUUUGUAGCGGCUGCUCACAGCCCUUCGUGAAACAGGGGCCGUGUGUGGGAUAUCAGCGGUGCCAGGGUAAAGGGAUACAUAGUCACCACCCGCGGGACUGCUUCUAUUAUCUCCGUGACAACAGUGUUGAGGACCUACAGAGGAUACUCAGGGACAAGAAGCUUCACUAUAAUGCUGAGGCUCAAGAUUCACAGGAUAUAGACCCAGCAUGUCCUGUGAUGGAACAGAAAGAACUUGACAGUCGUAAGAAAGACGAGCCAUGUGGACGAGAUGUUUUAAAGGGACAUGCUGGUCUUUGUAUAAAUCAUUACAAGGAAUAUCUAGUGGGGAUUCUGAACAAGAAUAAGGCUGAUCCAAUCAACAUUCUUACCCUUGAUGAGAUGAAAAAUCUCCUGGAGAGGGAAGAGAAGAACAUCCCACCACAAAAGGAAGGGGAGAGAGACACACAAUACAGAAGGCGUCUCGCCUCGUACAUUAAAGAGAAGUUGCCAAUAAGACGACCCAGGUAGUCAGUAGUAGAACUCACCCACAGUCCUGCACAAUUCAGCACUGAUAGACAUUUGAAGACAUGUAGCCUCAGAUAUCCAAGGACAGACAACCAAGGGUACACGAUACCAACAGCCAAGGACACAGAUCCUAACACAUGGCAGAGGACACAGGCACUGACAGGUGACCCAGGACACAGGUUCUGACAAGUGAUCCAGGACACAGGCUCUGACAGGUGACCCGAGACACAGGUUCUGACAGGUCACCCAGGACAAAGGCUCUGACAAGUGACCAAGGACAAAGGCUCUGACAAGUGACCAAGGACAAAGGUACUUACACGGGACCUAGGACACAGGUUCUGAGACAUGACCGAGGACACAGGUUCUGACAGGUGACCUAGGACACAGGUACUGAUAUGUGAACCAGGACACAGGUUCUGACACAUGACCUAGGAAGCAGGCUCUGACACAUGACCCAGGACACAGGCUCUGAUACAUGACCCAGGACGCAGGCUCUGACACAUGACCCAGGACACGGAUUCUGACACAUGACCCAGGACACUGGUUCUGACAGGUGACCCAGGACACAGGCUCUGACAGGUGACCUAGGACAUAGGUACUGGCAGGUGACCCAGGACACAGGCUAUGACAGGUGACCAAGGACAAAGGUACUUACACGGGACCUAGGACACAGGUUCUGACAGGUGACCCGAGACACAGGUUCUGACAGGUGACCCAAAACACAGGCUCUGACAAGUGACCAAAGACAAAGGUACUUACACGGGACCUAGGACACAGGUUCUGAGACAUGACCUAGGACACAGGUUCUGACAGGUGACCUAGGACACAGGUACUGACAGGUGAACCAGGACACAGGUUCUGACAGGUGAUCCAGGACACAGGUACUGACAGGUGACCCAGGACACAGGCUCUGACAGGUGACCCGGACACAGGUUCUGACAGGUGACCUAGGACACAGGCUCUGACAAGUGACCCAGGACACAGGUACUUACACGGGACCUAGGACACAGAUUCUGAGACAUGGCCCAGUACACAGGUUCCCUAGGACACAGGUACUGACAGGUGAUCCAGGACACAAGUGAUGACACGUGACCCAGGACACAGGUUAUGACAUGUGACCUAGGACACAGAUACUGACAGGUGAACCAGGACACAGGUUUUGACAUGUGAACCAGGACACAGGUUCUGACACAUGACCCAGGACGCAGGCUCCGACAGGUGAACAAGGAAUCGGGUAUUUUACCAGCUGGCAUUUGGUUCUGAAGUAGAUGGCUGAUUACACAGGUCAUUAGAGCCAAGGACACAGUUUGGAACUUAAAUCCAAGGAGACAAGUUCCAUAAUCACAGUCAGCCCGAGAACAGGUACUCAGAGUUUUGGGGCUCUGAUCACGCAGUCCCUGCCAUAGUACCACUUGAUUACAAGUCCUGCCGACACCAACACCUUGAAUUACCAUGCUGUCUCGAAAGCCUCCGUAUAAUGCUAGUAUGAUGGGACACGAUUUUGUGAAAUAGGUGUGAUAUACCCAAAUACAGGUUCUGGUUUAUAAGCGAUGCUGUUACUCAACUUCUUGGAAUGUGAGGAAAGCCUUUGAUUUACCUUAAUUAUCAACAUUCCACUUCACUUGAGAAAUUAUGAUAAUUAUCAUAUAUCUGUAAAUAUGUUAAAAAAAAUGUAAAUAUAUAUAUAUGCACAUCAGUCUUCUACACAAAGUCUUCUUUUCAAUUUACAUAUCAAGUGGAUUAUGUUGUAUAGGUACAGUACAUGUUAUACUAUUUUACCAUUUCAUGUACAUUAUGAUUAAUAUAUAUGUAAUUACAUUGAAAAUAUACAAUGUAUGUAAUUACAGUUAACAUAAGUAAUUACAUUUUAGUUGAAUAUGUAAUUACUUUUACAUGUACAUACAUAUGCAAAUACAUUUACCUGAAUACUAGGGUAUGUGUUUUUUUCUCUAUAUAUGUGUAUGUAAUUUUAUUUUAAAUCAAUGAAAUAUUUUUUUCUGGGUAUUAAUACUUUUAUUUACAAAUGAUGGAAGUAGUCUGGACCUGACUGUAGCUUUGUAGUCUUUGGUAGAAAAGCAGGACUUGUGAGUUGGUACUUGUCCUGCCUAUAUCACUACACAGGCAGAAUUUCUUGAUGUCAAUUUGACCUGAAAAUAUCCUUACCUGAACUUGACUUGAAUUUCAGGUCAAUUUCACAUGAAAAUUUAUAUUAAUGUGCAUUCAGGUGAAAUUCAUGUCAAUUCAUGUCAAAUUAACCUUUAGUUAUGACCUGAAAAUGACAUUAAGAUUUUUUGCCUGGCUAAGAUAUUCCUAAAAUCUCUUUGAUUUAUUUUUGUUUUAUCUAUACUCAGAUUCAAGUCGUUUCACCCUUCGUCUAAAACAUCUCCCUGUAACUCUUUACAAUGUCAAUUUGUUUCUGUACCUCACAUUUUGUGGUGAUAAGAUUUAUACUGAAAGUCACCAUUUUUUUUUGCGUUCUGCUUGUCUGCUUAAUUUCUGUUAAUGUGAUAUUGUACUGACAAUGUAGGUUCAUUGAUAAACACUGGCGAGACAUUAACACAAGGUCAAAAUCUUAAAUAACCCAAUCUGUCAAAUGCCAUGCCUUCCAUGCCCUUGGUCACCUCGACACUGAGUUCCUUUAUAACUAUAUUGUAAUAUAUCAAAGAAUCUCAAUCGGUAAUGAAAUACCUUACUAUGAUUUAAGUAGUACAGUACCUUAACUUGUUCACCCCUUAAAUGUCAUGAUGGACUAUACAGACGUUUGAAAUGGAAGAGUUCAAAUGUGUUUUCAGGGGUGAACUGUGAUUUAAACUGUCCUUUUGUUUGGUAAGGCAAGGAAGAUUUUUUCUUUUUUUUGACAGUCAAUCAAAGUCAUUCAACUACGCAAGGAUCAUUUUGCUCUCCUUUUAAAAAAAAAGAUGUUUUCGUUUAAGUCCUCUUUAUGACUGCAUUGAAUUUGUACAUGUAUUCAAAUGGAUCCACUAAGACUGAACGUUAUAUUGAUCUUUCUGGGACUGAGAAUGACAUUUUUAUCAGCAUUAUAUAUGUGGUAGAAGUUUUGUGAUGGACGCUCUAUGACGUCUGUCAAAGUUAUAUGAUAACGAAAUAUGAUAUUUAGAUUUGCGAUUGAAGUGCCUUACCUUGAUGUGAUAAUGAAUUUGAAUCACAACAAUUGUUGAAGUGUUACCUGGCUGCAAUGUCACCAAUUUUAGGCCUACCAUAAGCUGAGUUUUAAUUCAAGUUUCUGUGUUAAGUCUAUCUGGAUCCAGUUCCAUGAGAGUUCUUUUUAACUUACGGAAAUUCCACUGGAAAGCAUUGACGGAGGUGAGGUAAAACCUUCUGGAAGUUUUUCCUCAACUUCUGCUGUUCUUUCUGAUAUGUAUCUUCUAAGGUAAAGAUUUCCCCUCAUGAAAAGAAUGCUCUUGCACCUGGGGAGAAUUUUAAUUCUAAUUUAAUCUACCUUUGGUGUUUGGCAAUGAGUAUCCCAAACCCAAAAUCAGAGGGUUGUCAACAAAUAGGGACAGGAAUUUGAAAUUUCUUCCAACUGUAGGGAAGAUAGAGAGAUUACGAAGGGACAGGACUUGUAUAUCUGUCUUCCAGUUUAUACGACAAUGCUCUGAGUAAAGAAAUUAUAUCAUCCGUUGACUCGUAGUUUAACUUUGUUGUUUGUUUUACAGUGAACCAAAAUGCUGUAUAGAAUGUGAUAUCAUGAAUUUAUCAUCUUACCUACAAGUUCAUAAAUUGAGGCUGCCAACCCAACCUCUUGGCAUCAGGAAUACUCUCUUAUUUGUCACCGGCAUCUGGAAUAUUCUCUAAUUUUGGGAAUAACAGUACUUGAAUUAAUUUCAUUGCUAAAAUUGGUGUAUGGAUUCUUCCCGCACCUUGGUGUUUCAUAUACUACUUUAAUUCAUUCACCCCUUAAGACAUGAACUUUUCUGAUUUAAAGGUUGGAAUAGUUCAUUAUAAAAUUUCAGGGUUGACUGACUUAAUUAUUUACCAGCAAUCUGGUGUACGGAUUUAGGGUUGGCAGCACCUCGUAUCGUCCCAGAGGUUUAACAUAUUGAAAUAACUAUGAUGUUCUGUAUAAUUUAAAAUGAAAAUAAAAGUUAAAAAUGA